GGGAGGGGGUGACUAGUGACAGAGUGAGGGGGGGUGACUAGUGAGGAAGGAGGUGACUAGUGACAGAAUGAGAGAGAUGGUGACUAGUGACAGAGUGAGGGAGGUGGUGACUGUCACUAGUCACCCCAUCCCUCCCUCUGUCACUAGUCACCCACUCCCGCACUCUGUCACUAGUCACCCCCUCCUUCCCUCUGUCACCAGUCACCCCCUCCAUCACUCUGUCACUAGUCACCCCCUCCC